UACCUGGUUGAUCCUGCCAGUAGUCAUAUGCUUGUCUCAAAGAUUAAGCCAUGCAAGUCUAAGUACGAGCUCUCGUACAGUGAAACUGCGAAUGGCUCAUUAAAUCAGUUAUGGUUCAUUUGAUCGUACAGUUUACUUGGAUAACUGUGGUAAUUCUAGAGCUAAUACAUGCGAGAAGCGCCGACCUCCCGGGAGGCGUGCAUUUAUCAGACCAAAAACCGGCCGCGUCUUC
rnacentral:ncRNA from 1 species